rnacentral:rRNA from 1 species
GACAGAGGAUGCAAGCGUUAUCCGGAAUGAUUGGGCGUAAAGCGUCUGUAGGUGGCUUUUUAAGUCUGCCGUCAAAUCCCAGGGCUUAACCCUGGACAGGCGGUGGAAACUACCAAGCUGGAGUACGGUAGGGGCAGAGGGAAUUUCCGGUGGAGCGGUGAAAUGCGUAGAGAUCGGAAAGAACACCAACGGCGAAAGCGACUCUCUGGUCGGAUCCUGACGCUGAGGCGCGAAAGCUAGGGGAGCAAACGGG